CACACACACACAGACACAGACACAGACACAGACACAGACACAGACACAGACACAGACACAGACACAGACACAGACACAGACACACACAGACAGUAAUAGCAGGGGAAAGACAAUCCACUGAGAGGAGUGGAUGUUGUGUACUGUAAGCCGAGGAGAGACGAGGGGAAAUUGCGUUAGUGAAGUGUGAAACCUCCCGAAAGUCCAUAGAUUAAAGAGCGGCUAGAGUUCCCUAUUAUGUCUUAAUGUUUGGGGCUGGUUGUGUUUUGAAGCAGGCUGGCCUGGGUCCAGCGGUAAAGCCUGUCGCCCUCUCUUCCCCUCUGGGAUGAAUGGCUGGGGUGACAUCAGAGCCGGGCCAACCCAGAGAGGGGCGGCACAGCCCUUUGGUUCGAGAAAGGAACAUGCCACUCUGGCUCGACCCACUAAAUCUCUGAUAAUACUGUACAGUCAACAACUUCUUAGGUUCCCCAGUGGGUUUCCCUGAAUCUCAAGAACUUGGUUUUACACCCCCUCUUAGAAGGGAAAACCAAUCCUCCUGAAUGGCCACGGCAGUAGGAGUGGGGUUGGGAUGCUGUCUGGGGAUGUUGAUGGGGUUAAGUCCCCCCCCAUGGUGGUAGUGUUUUAACUGGUAUGUCUGAAUGACUUUUGAAGUCCCUUGUGUUAUCUCCGGGUAUCAACUGUACAGGGCAUGGUCAAGGGAUAACAACGCAAAAAUAUACACACACGCACACACAGUUUCAGAGCGCUUUCAAGUCGAUACAUGGACAACUGGAGUCGUUCAGUCUUGGGCCUGUUGCUGGAUGAGUGUUAAUACUGUCAUGUCCUCUCGCCACUUCAGGUGUCUUUCCUCUCAAUCAUACACUCUUUCCCAGCUCAACCCCGUGUGUGUGUGUGUGUUUGUGUGUGUGUGUGUGUGUGUGUGUGUGUGUGUGUGUGUGUGUGUGUGUGUGUGUGUGUGUGUGUGUGUGUGUGUGUGUGUGUGUGUGUGUGUGUGUGUGUGUGUGUGUGUGUGUGUGUGUGUGUGUGUGUGUGUGUGUGUGUGUGUGUCCUUUCUUACCAGGUCAGUUGCCUGAUGUGGCUGUCUCUUGCUCCUGCUCUCCUUCGCCGUCUCCCGGCAGCCACUCUGUCAGGGUGAGGAUGCCCAUUGGCACCUGCCCCCACAACUGGAACAGCUGGCACAGCAACCCUACAGUCAUGUCCAGGGCCACAGGAUGAGGAGGUGUUCCUGUUUGAGAGGGGAGAUCUGAACCUGUGGGCCGAGCCUGUCUAGUAGAUGCGGCUGCUACACAGAUACCUGGGUGUCCUCUUCAAAGCCCCAGGGCUGAAGGCUCUGAACCAGAACCAGGCAGAGCUCCUCAGUCUGUCAGCCCAGGAAGAUGCCCUGUCCCUGGCCACCCAGCAGGCUCUGGAGGGCCUCCCAGCCCUGGCCCAGUUCUCCUGCACCAUAGAGCACGCCCGGCUGGCCUGCAGCAGGAGAGGGCCACACUGGCUAUGGGUUUUAGACUCCAAGAAACGUUCUGAAUGUAACACUUAUGCAAGCAGCAUACACAUUUUUCAUGACUAAAAUGGUUUGUUUUAUCAGCGACGGGUGUAUAGGUUUUCGAAGGGAAUGUACUGCUGAAAGUGUAUACGUUUGGAGUUUUGUCUAUGUUUUUCAAAGUAAAGAUGCCUAAUUCAUGUCUCGCAGUUCUUGAAAACAACCACAGGGCGGUAUGUGUAUGGAAUUAAAAAAUAUAUAUAAUAUGUAUUAGCACGUUUUCCAGUGGACUCUUUUCAUCCCUUUGCACAGGUUUUUAUGCCCCCUUGGUUUCCUAGGUUACGUAAUUAGGAGGGCAACACAAUGGUCCACUGUCCUGUGUCAGCGACUGCCCAGACAGCUGGGCAGUCUUGCGCUGUAGUAUGGCAAUGUUCCAUGUUACUGUUAAAAUGAUGUCAUGUUCUGGAACGCUUGAACAUCCCCCAAUAAAAACAGCACUGUGUGA